rnacentral:rRNA from 1 species
CUCGUAGGCGGUUUAGUAAGUCGGGUGUGAAACCUCUAGGCUUAACCUAGAGACGCCACUCGAAACUACUAUGACUAGAGUCUGGUAGGGGACCAUGGAAUUCCUGGUGUAGCGGUGAAAUGCGCAGAUAUCAGGAGGAACACCAGUAGCGAAGGCGGUGGUCUGGGCCAGUACUGACGCUGAGGAGCGAAAGCGUGGGGAGCGAACAGGAUUAGAUACCCUGGUAGUCCACGCCGUAAACGGUGGGCACUAGGUGUGGGGCUCUAUCGACGAGUUCCGUGCCGCAGCUAACGCAUUAAGUGCCCCGCCUGGGGAGUACGGCCGCAAGGCUAAA